AGGGAGCCCCUCCUCCCUCCAUGUGUCUGUCAAUCUGAGCCCCUUUUCCAUUCAUGUGUCACUCUGAGCCUCUUUCCCACCUCCAUACCCUCCUGCCACCCCUACUUCUUAAUCUUUAACCCCUUUCCCUAAAGGUUUCCCUCCAUGGGCUCUUUCAGAGAAUGUUAUAUUAUCAGGUCAUUUACUCACAGAUAUUUUUGCACCACCUACCACGUGCCUGGCUGCGUGUCCCUGUGCAUGUGUGUUGGUGGUGUGGAUGGCUGGAGAGUGUAGGACGAGGCAGGCAGUAUGGUGGUUGAGAAAGAUGUCAAAGAACAAAGGAAGGUGUUUUGGGGUACAACUUUAUUGAGAUGUAAUCCACAUACACACAAUCCGCCCAUUAAAGCUCACAGCGAAGUGUGUUUUAGUUAUUCACAGAUAUCUGCAACUAUCACCAUAAUCAAUUUAAGAUCAUUUUCAUCACCCCCAAAAGAACUCCAGAGCCUUCAGCUGUCACCUUCACCCUCCAUGCACACCCCCCAGCCCUCAGCAACCAAAAAUCUACUUUCUGUCUCUGGGAAAUUCUUGAAGUGCCCCUGGACUUCAUGAGUCCUCACUGGGUCCCCAGAGGUGCCUGUUGCAACCCAU
rnacentral:lncRNA from 1 species